CAUUAGUUGCCAUCAUUUGGUUGGGCACUCUAAUGAGACUGCCGGUGACAAACCGGAGGGAAGGUGGGGAUGACGUCAAGUCCUCAUGGCCCUUAUGGGUAGGGCUUCACACGUCAUACAAUGGUCGGUACAGAGGGUUGCCAACCCGCGAGGGGGAGCUAAUCCCACAAAGCCGAUCGUAGUCCGGAUCGCAGUCUGCAACUCGACUGCGUGAAGUCGGAAUCGCUAGUAAUCGUGGAUCAGCAUGUCACGGUGAAUACGUUCCCGGGUCUU
rnacentral:rRNA from 1 species